GACGAACGCUGGCGGCGUGCUUAACACAUGCAAGUCGAACGGAAAGGCCCUGCUUUUGUGGGGUGCUCGAGUGGCGAACGGGUGAGUAACACGUGAGUAACCUGCCCUUGACUUUGGGAUAACUUCAGGAAACUGGGGCUAAUACCGGAUAGGAGCUCCUGCUGCAUGGUGGGGGUUGGAAAGUUUCGGCGGUUGGGGAUGGGCUCGCGGCUUAUCAGCUUGUUGGUGGGGUAGUGGCUUACCAAGGCUUUGACGGGUAGCCGGCCUGAGAGGGUGACCGGCCACAUUGGGACUGAGAUACGGCCCAGACUCCUACGGGAGGCAGCAGUGGGGAAUAUCGCACAAUGGGCGGAAGCCUGAUGCAGCAACGCCGCGUGCGGGAUGACGGCCUUCGGGUUGUAAACCGCUUUCGCCUGUGACGAAGCGUGAGUGACGGUAAUGGGUAAAGAAGCACCGGCUAACUACGUG
rnacentral:rRNA from 1 species